CGGUCGGAUGACGUGUCGGCCGUAGUGGGUGUGGUGAGGGAGGAUUGGGUGUGGAGGGACGGGAGGCCGCUGACGAGGUCAGGCCGGAAGAGGGAGCCCAUCUCGAUGGGGAUGACCACA
rnacentral:SRP_RNA from 14 species